rnacentral:ncRNA from 2 species
AGACGUUCUCGGGGCGGGGUGAAAGUCCCCACCGGCGGUGAGUGGUCGCGAUCAGGUCGCGUCGACAAGCCCGCGAGCGCCCGGCCGCCAGGUCGGGGUCAGCAGAUCCGGUGUGAUUCCGGAGCCGACGGUCAUAGUCCGGAUGCGAGAGAACAAGA